CCUGCCCCUAAAGGCAUUGGCAGGUGGGACUGCUGUGUCACAUUUGCAUCAGUAGGUGGCAGAGAGGAGAGAGACUAUGUCAAUGUUCUGUGUUUUGACCUGUGAAUGUCUGAAUAAUUAGCAACCUGACCCU
ensembl:snoRNA Gm25833 predicted gene, 25833